UUAUGGUCAUAUCAAGUUGAAGCACCAGUUCGCGUAUUAUCAGCGAAGUUAAGCAACGUCGAGUCUGGUCAGUACCUGGAUGGGUGACCGAUUGGGAAUACUAGGUGCUGUAAG